rnacentral:rRNA from 1 species
AGAGCGGCGGACGGGUGAGUAAUGCCUAGGAAUCUGCCUGGUAGUGGGGGAUAACGUUCGGAAACGGACGCUAAUACCGCAUACGUCCUACGGGAGAAAGCAGGGGACUUCGGGCCUUGCGCUAUCAGAUGAGCCUAGGUCGGAUUAGCUAGUUGGUGAGGUAAUGGCUCACCAAGGCGACGAUCCGUAACUGGUCUGAGAGGAUGAUCAGUCACACUGGAACUGAGACACGGUCCAGACUCCUACGGGAGGCAGCAGUGGGGAAUAUUGGACAAUGGGCGAAAGCCUGAUCCAGCCAUGCCGCGUGUGUGAAGAAGGUCUUCGGAUUGUAAAGCACUUUAAGUUGGGAGGAAGGGCAUUAACCUAAUACGUUAGUGUUUUGACGUUACCGACAGAAUAAGCACCGGCUAACUCUGUGCCAGCAGCCGCGGUAAUACAGAGGGUGCAAGCGUUAAUCGGAAUUACUGGGCGUAAAGCGCGCGUAGGUGGUUUGUUAAGUUGGAUGUGAAAUCCCCGGGCUCAACCUGGGAACUGCAUUCAAAACUGACUGACUAGAGUAUGGUAGAGGGUGGUGGAAUUUCCUGUGUAGCGGUGAAAUGCGUAGAUAUAGGAAGGAACACCAGUGGCGAAGGCGACCACCUGGACUAAUACUGACACUGAGGUGCGAAAGCGUGGGGAGCAAAC